rnacentral:rRNA from 1 species
AUGAACAACAAGCACCCAACUUGCAUUCUCACAGACCAAUGCCCAUCGAUGGUGAAAGCUAUACCACAAUCAUUUCCAAACACCGUCCACAAGCUAUGCCGUUGGCACAUCAUGAAGAAGUAUAGGGAAUACCUCGCAUUGCUGUACAAAAAGUAUAAAACAUUCAAAGAGGAGUUCACAGCUAUAUUAAACUGGCCGCUGAUGCCAACGGAGUUUGAAGAUGCCUGGGCUAAACUCGUGCACAACUACAACCUGGAGAACGACCAGAUGAUGAUGCAGCUCUGGAGUGAUAGGAAGAUCGAGAGCAUGAACCACGUGCUAAAGAAAGGGUUUGUCAAGGGGACCCAGAACCUACACAAGUUUGCUAGGCGGGUCAAUGCUUGCAUACAAACUCAGAUGCAGAAGGAGAACGAGCAAAUAAUGACCAACAUGACCAAUCCUGUGACAAAAACAACUUACGGCUACGAGGAAGACAUGUCUAUCAAGUACACGAGAGCCGUGUACACCGAGAUGAGGAAUAGGAUGAGAAAGGCUACGCUAUUUCGCGCAAAGCGUACAGCAGAGCCCACUAAGUACCUUGUGUACUACCACAACAAGCCUGGCCAUGAUGAUGAAGAAAGAUUUUCCUGGUCAAAGCAUGAAUUCCAGGUUGUAGCUGACCUAGAGAAUGAAAUAUAUGAGUGUGAAUGCAAGCUCUAG